AUGGCCCAGAAGAACGAGUACCCUCCACGGAUCAUCAGGCCUCACCCCUGGACAGCCUCCCUCUCUCAAGGGGUCCCUCCUUCUCAGGCGGAAGGAGCCUCUCCAGUCCAUGGGCCCUUGGGCCACUGGACCUGGGCGCCGGAGCAGCUGCAGCGGGGAACGGGUCGGGUGUGUCAGGAGGGGUUUGUGUGUGGGGCUGUGUCACUGUGUGCUGUGUUCGGAGGAGGCACCCAGCUGACCGUCCUCGGUCAGCCCAAGGCUGCCCCCUCGGUCACUCUGUUCCCGCCCUCCUCUGAGGAGCUUCAAGCCAACAAGGCCACACUGGUGUGUCUCAUAAGUGACUUCUACCCGGGAGCCGUGACAGUGGCCUGGAAGGCAGAUGGCAGCCCCGUCAAGGCGGGAGUAGAGACCACCACACCCUCCAAACAGAGCAACAACAAGUACGCGGCCAGCAGCUACCUGAGCCUGACGCCUGAGCAGUGGAAGUCCCACAAAAGCUACAGCUGCCAGGUCACGCAUGAAGGGAGCACCGUGGAGAAGACAGUGGCCCCUGCAGAAUGCUCUUAGGCCCCCGACCCUCACCCCACCCACAGGGGCCUGGAGCUGCAGGUUCCCAGGGGAGGGGUCUCUGCCCCCAUCCCAAGUCAUCCAGCCCUUCUCAAUAAAUAUCCUCAUCGUCAAUGAG